UACAUUUCAUCUCCUGAGAUUGGUUUCUUGAAGACUAUGGAUAGGAAGGUGGACCACAACACCACAAAGCUUGUCUUCAUGGUCCUAGAACCUAAUGCAGUUGAACCUACAACGAAUCAAACAUACGGUUCUAUUCUCAAGAAUCUUACAGCAAUCAAAUCAUUUGCAUCAGGCAUUGUUGUCCCCAAAAGCUACAUAAUUCCUGUUAACAAUAAAACCAGAUAUUUGGAGCCGGCAACUACUCUUGUGACCGAUGCUCAUAAUGCAGGACUACAAGUAUACGCUUCUGGUUUUGCAAAUGAUAUAUAUUCAAGCUAUAAUUAUAACUUUGAGCCUGAAGCUGAGUACCUCACGUUCAUUGACAAUUCCCAGUUUGCUGUUGAUGGAUUUAUCACAGACUUUCCUACUACAGCAACAGAAGCCAUCGGUGAGAUUGAUAUACUUUUCAUUGUCUAUAGCCAAAGAAACCAAAUUUGAGCCAUUAGAACAAGAAGAAUACAACUGCUGCAAUCUAAACCUAGGCUCCAACUGAUUUUAAUUUUUUUUUCCCCCUAAUGGAUGCAGUGUGCUUUGCACUUACCAACCUCAACGAAACAAGGAAAGGUAAAACACUAGCUAGUCCUAUUGUUAUCUAAUUAAAGCUUAUUGUGACAUCCAUAUUAUGACAUCAAUUAAAAUUGAUAGAAAUUAAUAGAAAGUGAAGAGGAUAAAUAAUAUAAUUCUUUACUUUUUGCAGAUAGACCUUUGAUCAUAACUCAUAAUGGAGCAAGUGGGGUUUAUGCCGGCUGCACUGAUCUUGCUUAUCAGCAAGCAGUAGAUGAUGGAGCUGACAUAAUUGAUUGCACUGUCCAAAUGUCCAAGGAUGGUGUUGCUUUCUGUUUGGAAUCACCG
rnacentral:lncRNA from 1 species